rnacentral:rRNA from 1 species
AUGAGUUGGACGUAGCCCCUGACGCGGACGUUGCCCAGCUCAGAGCGCCCGGCCGCGGAGCCGAAACGCACGGCCAGGUUGUGGGCGAUGGUGCCUCCCGCGGAGUCACCGGAGAUAAACACCCGAGUAAAGUCGGCGGCCUCGGUCAGCCAUGUGUCGCCGGCGGGGCCGGCCUGCGAAGCAAGCCAGAGGAGGGCGGCGGCGCCGUCGUCGAUGGCCGCGGGGAGGCGGUUCUCGGGGGCGAGGCGGUAG